AGAAAAACAACUUUUAAGUGAUCAGAAAUUUUAAACUGACAUUUUACAUUACUCGAUCAAAUUUGGAUGUGAUCUUUCGAACAGAGGUAUUUGUAUAGAGUAAGCUUCCUGUUCAAUGGAUAAUGAAGAAAGGCCUAUGAUGUAAAGUGUAUGGAUUAUAGUGAAUAGCGUAUACAGUAAUACCAAUAGAAAGGUUAUGGAGUAUGGUUUAUUUGGUGUGGAUUAUGAUGAAUAGUUUAUGGUGUAUGGGGUGUGGAGUUUUAUAUAUUGUUUAUGAUGUAUGGGAUGUAGAGUAUAAUGAAUAGUUUAUGGAGUAUGAAGUUUGGAGUAUGAUGAAUAGUUUAUAGAGUUUGGAGUAUGAUGAAUAAUUGAAGAUGUGUGGGGUGUGGAGUAUGAUGAAUAGUCUAUGGAGUUUGGAGUAUGAUAAAUAAGUUAUGAUGUAUGGGGUGUGGAGUAUAAUGAAUAGUUUAUGGAGUAUGGUGUAUGGGAUGUUGAGUAUUAUGAAUAGUUUAUUGAGUUUGAUGAAAAGUUUGUUCUGUAUGUGGUGUAGAGUAGGGUGGAUAGUUUAUGGAGUAUGGUGUAUAAUGUGUGGAGCGAAUGAGAAAUUUGUUAUUAACUCUACAGAAGUAUAUAACAAGGUCUGUUUCUGACCUCAUUGUAGCUGGUGAGACAUAUGUCAGUACAGUCUUAAGAAUUAUAUAACAUGGUCUAUAUCUAACCUCAUUGUAGCCGGUGAGACAAAUGUCAGGACAGUUUUAAGACGUAUAUAACAUGGUCUAUAUCUGACCUCAUUGUAGCUGGUGAGACAAAUGUCAGGACAGUUUUAAGGGGAAUAUAACAUGGUCUAUAUCUGACCUCAUUGUAGCCGGUGAGACAAUUGUCAGUACAGUCUCAAGAGGUAUAAAAAAUAUGGCCUAUAUCUGACUUCAUUCUAGCCAGUGAGACAUAUGUCAGUACAGUCUUAAGGGGUCUAUACUUAACCUCAUUGUAGCAUGUGAGACAAAUGUCAGAACAGUCUUAAGAGGUAUAUAACAUGGUAUAUAUCUGACCUCAUUGUAGCCGGUGAGACAGCUGUCAGUACA